rnacentral:rRNA from 1 species
CUUCGGCCUGCCGGCGAGUGGCGAACGGGUGAGUAAUGCAUCGGAACGUACCCAUGUUGUGGGGGAUAACGUAGCGAAAGCUACGCUAAUACCGCAUAAGCCCUGAGGGGGAAAGCGGGGGAUUCUUCGGAACCUCGCGCAAUUGGAGCGGCCGAUGUCAGAUUAGCUAGUUGGUAGGGUAAAGGCCUACCAAGGCGACGAUCUGUAGCGGGUCUGAGAGGAUGAUCCGCCACACUGGGACUGAGACACGGCCCAGACUCCUACGGGAGGCAGCAGUGGGGAAUUUUGGACAAUGGGGGCAACCCUGAUCCAGCCAUGCCGCGUGAGUGAAGAAGGCCUUCGGGUUGUAAAGCUCUUUCAGUUGGGAAGAAACGGGGUUCUCUAACAUAGAGCUCUAAUGACGGUACCGACAGAAGAAGCACCGGCUAACUACGUGCCAGCAGCCGCGGUAAUACGUAGGGUGCGAGCGUUAAUCGGAAUUACUGGGCGUAAAGCGUGCG